rnacentral:lncRNA from 1 species
GAAUUAGAGCUAAGCUAUGAGACAAUAUAUAUUUGCGUGUAAUGUUUGUCUUGGAAAACUACAUACAAAUGCAAAAAGAUCCUUGGCUGUAUUGGCUGUUACAUACCAAUGUGUGCAGAAGCAGUAAGGAGAUCACAACAACGGAAAAUCUGGGUUCUUUUUUCUUAUAUGGGAGGCUGUAAUUGAUUUAUGCUAGACAGAAAACAAGCUGACUCUCAUGGAAAAAGGACAAAUGAUUAGGCAUCUAGGAUCAUUUGUACGUGAAGAGCCUUUUGGCCAUAUGAAAGCACAGGAUAUAUUAUCAUUUGCAACUGAUACAAGUUCAAAUGAUGCCAUAAAUUUUUUUUUUUGGAGAAAGUUCAAGUUAUAUGAACGAGACAGGAUGUCAAUUAAUCAUAUAUACUAUAUAAACAUUUUUCAUAACAAGAGCACAUGUAUAUAUAAUUUACAUUAAGAAAACUUACCGCAUUGGGGCUUCGAGGAAGCAAAUCUAUAGUGAGUGUUUCCAUUUUUUUUUUUUUUUUUGAACACAAAUAGUGAGUGUUUCCAAGUUUGGGAAAUUAAUGAGAAGAAACCUAAUUCCAUUGAACUAUCUCGGAUGCAAUUCCGUCUUCAGCACUAAAUGUUUUGUUUCCAUGAGCCAAGAAAAUGUGGAUGCUCAGAUCUUAGAAUCAUCUUACAUAAGAAAAAAUAUUUCACUAUGUCAUUAUUUUAUUCUGAACAGUCAAUAUAUACAAUAAUUUAACGCUAAAAUUUUAGGGUAUAGCUCUUUGUUCACUAAGAAAUUACUUUAAUUAAAACUAUGGAAGGAAGUAUUGUCUCCUAUGUAAUGCAAAAUAUAGGCAUUGCUUAUUUUAUAGAUUCUAAAACAUAUUUGGGUUUUAGGUUUUCAAAAACACUUUUCAAAACUAUUCAAGAUUCAGAUUUUGGUUUUACUUUUUUUUCUAAAACACUUUAUUAGCCAACCAAAUUUUUAUUAAAUAGAUUUCCUAAAUUUUAGGAAAACUAGUUUCAAUUUUGUUUGAUCA